rnacentral:rRNA from 1 species
UACAGAGGGUGCGAGCGUUGUCCGGAAUCACUGGGCGUAAAGGGCGCGUAGGCGGCUUCUCAAGCGUGCGGUGAAAGCUCGGGGCUUAACUCCGAGUCUGCCGUGCGAACUGGGAGGCUUGAGUCUGGUAGAGGUCGAUGGAAUUCCGGGUGUAGCGGUGGAAUGCGUAGAGAUCCGGAAGAACACCGGUGGCGAAGGCGGCCGACUGGGCCAGUACUGACGCUGAGGCGCGACAGCGUGGGGAGCAAACAGG